UAGACACAACACGCAGCAGCUCCUCUCUGGAGGACCCUCACAUUGGAGUCCAUGUGAACUCUUAAUAGAGUCUGAAGUGGGUGCAUUUCAGGGAAAUUCACUUGACAGUUGCAGAGAAACAUAGCAGGUUUGAUAACCUCCAAGUUCCUGGCCCUUCACAUCACAGAGGACCUCAUAUGGACCCUUACACCCCAUUCUCACCACGUUCAACAGAGGAACCAUUAGAGCAUUUUCGAAAGUGUCAACAGCAGCGCGGUUCGGUAAUCGCCCCUGUCUCUCCACUCUGUCAGACAUCUACAACACGUGUUGCCUGUGCAAGGCCAGAAGCAUUGUGGGUGACCCAUCACACACCUGCCAUGAACUCUUCUCUGUGCUGCCUUCUGGCAGGAGGCUUCACAAAUUAGGAAUAUGUGUCUUGUGUUAUGUCUGUGAAUACAACAGCAAACAUAACCUGCACAAAGGUGCAACUUUGCUGCUGCUACUGAAUUCAGUUCAGUAUCUACCUCCCUACUGUAUAUGCUCACUAAAGUAUGUGUCAUAUGCACACCUCCAAGUCUUUUAAGCUCUGGCUGUCUGUUGUUUUUGUCAAAACGAACUGUACUUUAUCAUUUGUUUGCACAAUGUUUAAUGUUUCAUGUAACACCAUGGUCCUUGGCAAAACACUGUCUCGUUUCACUGCAUAUUGUGUAUAUGGUUGAAAUGACAAUA